rnacentral:lncRNA from 1 species
AAUCACUAAUUAAGCCUCUCAUAAAUAUUGAGUCCAAAUCCGAUGGGCAAUCGGGCAUCAGAAUUCAUCGAUAUGUAAUCCUGAUCGAAAAGUCCCAACCAGUAGGACUCUUGACCAUGGUAUCCAUAAUGUGUGGAACUCGUGAUCAGAGAAUCCUGAUUCUCGAUCACUGAGUCCCAAACAUAUAGAAUUCUACACCGCCAUC